rnacentral:rRNA from 1 species
GUAGGGAAUCUUCGGCAAUGGGGGGAACCCUGACCGAGCAACGCCGCGUGAGUGAAGAAGGUUUUCGGAUCGUAAAGCUCUGUUGUAAGAGAAGAACGGGUGUGAGAGUGGAAAGUUCACACUGUGACGGUAUCUUACCAGAAAGGGACGGCUAACUACGUGCCAGCAGCCGCGGUAAUACGUAGGUCCCGAGCGUUGUCCGGAUUUAUUGGGCGUAAAGCGAGCGCAGGCGGUUAGAUAAGUCUGAAGUUAAAGGCUGUGGCUUAACCAUAGUAUGCUUUGGAAACUGUUUAACUUGAGUGCAGAAGGGGAGAGUGGAAUUCCAUGUGUAGCGGUGAAAUGCGUAGAUAUAUGGAGGAACACCGGUGGCGAAAGCGGCUCUCUGGUCUGUAACUGACGCUGAGGCUCGAAAGCGUGGGGAGCAA